rnacentral:rRNA from 1 species
GACGAACGCUGGCGGCGUGCUUAACACAUGCAAGUCGAACGGAAAGGCCCUGCUUUUGUGGGGUGCUCGAGUGGCGAACGGAUGAGUAACACGUGGGUAACCUGCCCUUGACUUUGGGAUAACUUCAGGAAACUGGGGCUAAUACCGGAUAGGAGCUCCUGCUGCAUGGUGGGGGUUGGAAAGUUUCGGCGGUUGGGGAUGGACUCGCGGCUUAUCAGCUUGUUGGUGGGGUAGUGGCUUACCAAGGCUUUGACGGGUAGCCGGCCUGAGAGGGUGACCGGCCACAUUGGGACUGAGAUACGGCCCAGACUCCUACGGGAGGCAGCAGUGGGGAAUAUUGCACAAUGGGCGGAAGCCUGAUGCAGCAACGCCGCGUGCGGGAUGACGGCCUUCGGGUUGUAAACCGCUUUCGCCUGUGACGAAGCGUGAGUGACGGUAAUGGGUAAAGAAGCACCGGCUAACUACGUG